rnacentral:rRNA from 1 species
GACGUAGGGUGCAAGCGUUUGUCCGGAUUUACUGGGCGUAAAGAGCGCGUAGGCGGCUCAUUAAGUGUGAAGUGAAAUCUCCAGGGCUCAACCCGGAAACUGCUUCGCUAUACUGAUGAGCUUGAGGAAUGCAGAGGUUAGUGGAAUUCCUGGUGUAGCGGUGAAAUGCGUUGAUAUCAGGAGGAACACCCAUGGCGAAGGCAGCUAACUGGGCGAUUAUCUG